CAGUCGCCGCGGGAAUACGUAGGUGGCAAGCGUUGUCCGGAAUUAUUGGGCGUAAAGCGCGCGCAGGCGGUUUCUUAAGUCUGAUGUGAAAGCCCCCGGCUUAACCGGGGAGGGUCGUUGGAAACUGGGAGACUUAGAGUGCAGAAGGGGAGAGUGGAAUUCCAUGUGUAGCGGUGAAAUGCGUAGAUAUAUGGAGGAACACCAGUGGCGAAGGCGGCUUUCUGGACUGCAACUGACGCUGAGGCUCGAAAGCCAGGGGAGCGAACGGGAUUAGAUACCCGUGUAGUCCCUGUCUCUUAUA
rnacentral:rRNA from 1 species